GCCUGCCCACCUUUUGUGUGCUCCAGGUCAUUAAGCUGCUAAACUCGCCACAACUGAGGGCUCCGUGCCCCAGGGAGGAAACCACUGAAGAAGCGUCCCUGCUCCUUCGCACCCCAAACCAUCAAUUAAUAUUAACAAGGGAGAAUGCUCCUCGAUGCCUAAAGACCCCCAACAGGGUACAAAUGGAGCAGGAGCCACGCCCCCCAUGACUCAGGAGGUUAAAGGGCUUGGGUCCAUCUGUGUGCCCAGAGUGUCCGAAUGGCGAGUGGCAACAGGAAGGUCACCAUCCAGCUGGUGGACGACGGGGCCGGGACUGGAGCUGGGGGCCCACAGCUCUUUAAAGGCCAGAACUACGAAGCCAUCCGAAGAGCUUGCCUGGAUUCCGGGAUCCUGUUUCGUGACCCUUGCUUUCCUGCUGGCCCUGAUGCCCUUGGCUAUGACAAGCUGGGACCUGACUCAGAGAAGGCCAAAGGGGUGGAAUGGAAGAGGCCCCAUGAGUUUUGUGCUGAGCCCCAGUUCAUCUGUGAAGACAUGAGCAGAACAGAUGUGUGCCAGGGAAGCUUGGGAAACUGCUGGCUUCUUGCAGCUGCUGCCUCCCUCACACUCUACCCCAGGCUCCUGUACCGGGUGGUCCCCCCUGGACAAGGUUUCCAAGAUGGCUACGCGGGGGUCUUCCAUUUUCAGCUAUGGCAGUUUGGCCGCUGGGUGGAUGUGGUGGUAGACGACAAACUGCCUGUGCGUGAGGGGAAGCUGAUGUUCGUGCGCUCAGAACAAAGGAACGAGUUCUGGGCCCCUCUGCUGGAAAAGGCCUAUGCCAAGCUCCAUGGCUCCUACGAGGUAAUGCGAGGAGGUCACAUGAACGAGGCUUUUGUGGACUUUACAGGAGGCGUGGGUGAGGUCCUCUACUUGAGACAAAACACUCCAGGUGUCUUUGCUGCCCUUCGCCACGCAUUGGCCAAGGAGUCCCUUGUGGGUGCUACUGCCCUGAGUGAUCGGGGUGAGAUCCGCACAGAUGAAGGGCUGGUGAAGGGACAUGCUUAUUCUGUCACAGGCACGCACAAGAUGUCUCUGGGCUUCACCAAGGUGCGGCUGCUGCGGCUGAGGAACCCCUGGGGCCGCGUGGAGUGGUCCGGGCCCUGGAGUGACAGCUGCCCACGCUGGGACAUGCUCCCUUCUGAGUGGCGAGAUGCCCUGCUUGUGAAAAAGGAGGAUGGCGAGUUCUGGAUGGAGCUUCAAGACUUUCUCACGCACUUCAACACAGUGCAGAUUUGUUCACUGAGUCCUGAGGUGUUGGGCCCCAGCCCUGCUGGCGGCGGCUGGCAUAUCCACAUCUUCCAGGGCCGCUGGGUGCGAGGCUUCAACUCCGGUGGGAGUCAGCCCAGCGCUGAAAACUUCUGGACCAACCCCCAGUUCCGGCUGACACUGCUGGAGCCUGAUGAGGAAGAGGAUGACGAUGAUGAAGAGGGACCCUGGGGAGGCUGGGGAGCGGCAGGGGCCCGGGGCCCGGCGAGAGGAGGCCGAGUCCCCAAGUGCACGGUCCUGUUGUCACUCAUCCAGCGCAACCGCCGGUGUCUGAGGGCCAAGGGCCUCACUUACCUCACUGUGGGCUUCCACGUGUUCCAGAUUCCGGAGGAGCUGCUGGACCUCUGGGACUCCCCGCGCAGCCGCGCGCUCUUGCCGGGACUGCUGCGCGCCGACCGCUCGGUUUUCUGCGCCCGCCGCGACGUGAGCCGUCGCUGUCGCCUGCCGCCUGGCCACUACCUGGUGGUACCCAGCGCCUCGCGCGUAGGCGAUGAAGCCGACUUCACUCUGCGCAUCUUCUCGGAGCGCAGCCACACCGCAGUGGAGAUCGAUGACGUGAUCAGCGCAGACCUGGACGCCCUCCAGGCCCCCUACAAGCCCCUGGAGCUGGAGUUGGCACAGCUAUUUUUGGAGCUGGCUGGAGAGGAGGAGGAACUCAACGCGCUUCAGCUGCAGACCUUAAUAAGCAUUGCUCUGGAACCUGCGUGGGCAAAGACUGUCCCUACACCACUUCCAGGAGCUCUGGGGCCAUCUCAUGUCAUGGCAGGCCACAUUUGACAAGUUUGAUGAAGAUGCCUCUGGGACAAUGAACUCCUGUGAACUGAGGCUGGCACUGACUGCUGCAGGCUUCCACCUCAACAACCAGCUGACCCAGUCCCUCACUAGCCGCUACCGGGACAGCCGGCUCCGUGUGGACUUCGAGCGCUUCGUGUGCUGUGCAGCCCGGCUCACCUGCAUCUUCCGCCACUGCUGCCAACACCUGGAUGGCGGCGAGGGGGUCGUCUGCCUGACCCACAAACAGUGGUCGGAGGUGGCUACCUUCUCAUAGGUUUGAAGCUGAGGGAGGUCACCCUGCUGCCCGACUCACUGUCACAAAGGUGGUGGCUAUGUAACCCUGGCCGGCCUCACAAGUGCUGGGAUUACGAGCUGGAGCCAUCCCAAACAGAACUGCCACCCUUCCUUUUGAAGCCUCUUCAUGUCAGUCCCUGCUUAGAGAGGGGCACAACCCCCACACAGGCACUGGGCUGGUGGGCACUGCCAGCUCCUUGGGGCAUGAACAGAGAUGCAGGGAGAAGAUGACACCAGAGUCCUUCUUAAAAAUAUUACAUGUUUUAUUCUCCCAUCCCCAGAGGGUGGUUUAUCCAGAAACCAAGAAAAUAAAAAUCAAUCAGAAUAAACUCAAGGGGGCGAGUGGAGAGAAACCCAUUAACGACCAGGCAGGCAGGCCAGCAGCCUGCCUCCACCUCAGAAGGUCCCCAGAGACCUCUGCCCACCGCCACGAGGGGAAAAUCAGGAGGGACUGGGGAGGGCAUUGAAUCAGCUAUGUCUUCAUUAUGAGAGUGAGAGAGGUGGCAGAGAUAUGCAGCUAGAUGGAUAUAUAUUUAUAUAAUAAAUCCGUAAGUUAAUAAAGUAAAUAGUAAUUCUC